rnacentral:rRNA from 1 species
UACGAACUGUGCGAACGUUAUUCGGAAUCACUGGGCUUACAGGGUGCGUAGGCGGCUUAGCAAGUCAGGUGUGAAAGCCCCCGGCUCAACUGGGGAGGGUCAUUCGAUACUGAUCGACUCGAAGGCAGGAGAGGGUAGUGGAAUUCCCGGUGUAGUGGUGAAAUGCGUAGAUAUCGGGAGGAACACCAGUGGCGAAGGCGACUACCUGGCCUGUUCUUGACGCUGAGGCGCGAAAGCUAGGGGAGCAAACGGG